rnacentral:rRNA from 1 species
AUUGAACGCUGGCGGCAUGCUUUACACAUGCAAGUCGAACGGCAGCACGGGCUUCGGCCUGGUGGCGAGUGGCGAACGGGUGAGUAAUAUAUCGGAACGUACCCAGAAGUGGGGGAUAACGUAGCGAAAGUUACGCUAAUACCGCAUACGACCUAUGGAUGAAAGCGGGGGACCGCAGGACCUUGUGCUCCUGGAUCGGCCGAUAUCUGAUUAGCUAGUUGGUGAGGUAAAGGCUCACCAAGGCGACGAUCAGUAGCUGGUCUGAGAGGACGACCAGCCACACUGGAACUGAGACACGGUCCAGACUCCUACGGGAGGCAGCAGUGGGGAAUUUUGGACAAUGGGCGCAAGCCUGAUCCAGCAAUGCCGCGUGAGUGAAGAAGGCCUUCGGGUUGUAAAGCUCUUUUGUCAGGGAAGAAACGGUAGAGGCUAAUAUCCUUUGCUAAUGACGGUACCUGAAGAAUAAGCACCGGCUAACUACGUG